rnacentral:rRNA from 1 species
CCAAUAGCGUAUAUUAAAGUUGUUGCAGUUAAAAAGCUCGUAGUUGAAUUUCGGGGUCAGUAGAUUGGUCGUGCCACUGGUAUGUACUGGUCUUACUGGCUCCUCCUUCCUGAUGAACCGUAAUGCCAUUAAUUUGGUGUUGCGGGGAGACUGGACUGUUACUUUGAACAAAUUAGAGUGUUUAAAGCAGGCUAACGCUUGAAUACAUUAGCAUGGAAUAAUGAAAUAGGACGUUCGAUCUUAUUUUGUUGGUUUCUAAGAUUGACGUAAUGAUUAAUAGGGAUAGUUGGGGGCAUUAGUAUUCAAUUGUCAGAGGUGAAAUUCUUGGAUUUAUUGAAGACUAACUACUGCGAAAGCAUUUGCCAAGGAUGUUUUCAUUAAUCAAGAACGAAAGUUAGGGGAUCGAAGACGAUCAGAUACCGUCGUAGUCUUAACCAUAAACUAUGCCGACUAGGGAUCGGAUGAUGUUAAUUUUUUAAUGACUCAUUCGGCGCCUUACG